UAUAAUAAAUAGGGUAAUAUAAACAUUUUAUAAAAACCAAUAUAAUUUGGCGGCAUUUAAUUUUAUUAGAGGAACUUGUUUAUUAAUCGUCACGCCACGAUAUUUCUCACUUUAGUAAAAAUUUUAUAUACCGCCAUAUCAGAAUUAAUUCAAAAAUUAAAUCCAAUUAAUAUUUAUAUUAAAAUAUAGGUAAAGGUGUAGACAACACUAAAGAUUAAAUGAGUUACAAUAAAAAUCAUUUAAGGAAGUAAAGAUAAAUCUAAAUGAAAAUAGGAUUUAUAAGUAAAUUUAUAGUAAUUAUAAAAAUUGAAUAAAACAAAAAAUGUGC
rnacentral:rRNA from 1 species